rnacentral:rRNA from 1 species
CACGUAGGGCGCAAGCGUUGUCCGGAAUUAUUGGGCGUAAAGAGCUCGUAGGCGGUCUGUUGCGUCCGCUGUGAAAACUCGGGGCUUAACCCCGAGCCUGCAGUGGAUACGGGCAGACUCGAGGCAGGCAGAGGGUGGCGGAAUUCCGGGUGUAGUGGUGAAAUGCGUAGAGAUCCGGAGGAACGCCGGUGGUGCAGACGGCCACCUGGGCCUGACCUGACGCUGAGGUGCGAAAGCGUGGGGAGCGAACCGG